CGGACCCGGAGCCCCGAAGCACGCAGCAGGUGUCCCUCCCGAGAGACCACUGGUGCCCGCUGUGUCUUCGGGAGGCGCCCGUCCCCAUCUGCGGGCUUUCCAAGGUGCUGUGCUGGGGUUUGCCGAGCCCGGGUCAACCAGCCGACGGUGGCGGAACGGCGGGCAGGUCGGCGGAGUUAGAUGGCCGCAAAGUCUUCCUCUGUUGCCCAGGCUGGAGUGCAGUGGUGAGAUCUCGGGGAAAAACGUGGCCGGCCGGAGUCCUCCCACAGACGACAGUGCCUUCCCGGCAGCAUCUCCGCCGGGCCCAAGAGGGUCGUGGAGUCGCUGGCUUCCUCCCAGGAACCCAGAGUUGAUCUCUACACCACGCCAUCACUGCCAGGGGUGAGGAAAUUCUGGCACCAGUGAUUCAGCACUGUUUUUUUCUCUCUCUUCAGUGCCUCUUUCAGUGAUAUGAAGUUAAAACCAGAUACCCAGCCGUGGGAUUGCUAGAUCAGACAGAGCCAAUUGAUGAUCAGCAGGGCCUGAAAAUGCCAAAACCCUGAAACAACUGACCUUCGAAAACUUCAACAUCCCUGAACGAAACGUCCAAACACAUUUAUCCACCAAUCAAAGACCCUUUAUAGUCUGUGCUCUGUGCAUCUCAGAAGUCUCUCUUUACCACACUGUCUAUAUACUGCAUGAGCCAUUAUAUGAAACUCCAAGGCAUCUUAUACUAUAUAUUCAACCAUGUAUCCCUAGUACCUAGUACAGUCCUGCCAUAUAGUUUGCUACUAAACAUUUGCAGAAUGAAGUAAUUAUCUUGUAUCCAGGUUCCAAGUUUUAAGGUGAUUUCUCACUAAAAAUAAAGCAUUACAGUUCGCAAGCAA
rnacentral:lncRNA from 10 species